rnacentral:rRNA from 1 species
UACGUAGGGGGCAAGCGUUGUCCGGAAUCAUUGGGCGUAAAGAGCGUGUAGGCGGUUCGGUAAGUCGGCUGUGAAAGUCCAGGGCUCAACCCUGGGAUGCCGGUCGAUACUGCCGGACUAGAGUCCGGAAGAGGCGAGUGGAAUUCCUGGUGUAGCGGUGGAAUGCGCAGAUAUCAGGAGGAACACCGAUGGCGAAGGCAGCUCGCUGGGACGGUACUGACGCUGAGGCGCGAAAGCGUGGGGAGCGAACAGG